rnacentral:rRNA from 1 species
UACAGAGGGUGCGAGCGUUAAUCGGAAUUACUGGGCGUAAAGCGCACGUAGGCGGCUUGGUAUGUCGGGUGUGAAAUCCCCGGGCUCAACCUGGGAACUGCAUCCGAAACUGCCUUGCUCGAGUAUGGGAGAGGGAAGUGGAAUUUCCGGUGUAGCGGUGAAAUGCGUAGAGAUCGGGAGGAACAUCAGUUGCGAAGGCGGCUCUCUGGACCAGCACUGACACUGAGGCACGAAAGCGUGGGGAGCAAACAGG